rnacentral:rRNA from 1 species
GCUACGGGGGGCAGCCGUGAGGAAUAUUGGUCAAUGGGCGCGAGCCUGAACCAGCCAAGUCGCGUGAGGGAAGACGGUCCUAUGGAUUGUACACCUCUUUUGUCGGGGAGCAAAAGACGCCACGCGUGGCGUUCCGAGAGUACCCGAAGAAACAGCAUCGGCUAACUCCGUGCCAGCAGCCGCGGUAAUACGUAGGGGGCGAGCGUUGUCCGGAAUGACUGGGCGGAAAGGGAGUGUAGGCGGCAUAUUAAGUUAUGUGUGAAAGCCCGCGGUGCAACCGCGGAAUUGCACAUAAAACUGGUAAGCUGGAGUGCAGGAGAGGUAAGUGGAAGUCCCGGUGUAGCGGUGGAAUGCGUAGAUAUCGGGAGGAACACCAGAGGCGAAGGCGACUUACUGGACUGUAACUGACGCUGAGGCUCGAAAGCGUGGGGAGCAAACAGGAUUAGAUACCCGGGUAGUC